AACGAACGCUGGCGGCAUGCCUAACACAUGCAAGUCGAACGAAGCCUUCGGGCUUAGUGGCGCACGGGUGCGUAACGCGUGGGAAUCUGCCCCUUGCUUCGGAAUAACAGUUAGAAAUGACUGCUAAUACCGGAUGAUGUCUUCGGACCAAAGAUUUAUCGGCAAGGGAUGAGCCCGCGUAGGAUUAGGUAGUUGGUGGGGUAAAGGCCUACCAAGCCGACGAUCCUUAGCUGGUCUGAGAGGAUGAUCCGCCACACUGGGACUGAGACACGGCCCAGACUCCUACGGGAGGCAGCAGUGGGGAAUAUUGGACAAUGGGGGGAACCCUGAUCCAGCAAUGCCACGUGAGUGAUGAAGGCCUUAGGGUUGUAAAGCUCUUUUACCAGGGAUGAUAAUGACAGUACCUGGAGAAUAAGCUCCGGCUAACUCCGUGCCAGCCGCCGCAGUAAAAC
rnacentral:rRNA from 1 species